GCCGACUUAGCUCAAUGGUAAAGCGUGUGGCUUUUAGUCACGUGGUCGUGGGUUCAAUCACCACAGUCGACG